rnacentral:tRNA from 1 species
GCUGCCGUAGCUCAGUUGGUAGAGCACCUCAUUGGUAUUGAGGAGGUCGAGAGUUCAAGCCUCUUCGGUAGCU